rnacentral:rRNA from 1 species
UCUUAAUAAAAAUUUUUAAUUAUGAUAGACGAAAUAAGUAAUUUUAUAAAAUUUUAUUUUAUUGGGGCGAUAAGGAAAUAAAAUAACUUUCUUAGUAUAAACACUUAUUGGUGAAUUAGAGAUCCAUUAAUAAUGAUUAAAAGAUUAAGU